AGCUUUGUACGUUGCCCCCCCAGCCCCUGCCCUCGGUGCGCAGCCCUGCAGGAGACACCCACAGCAUUACCGUCGGGUCUGGGUUUAUUGCUCCCGUAGGAAGAGAAGCUCGGCGUCGAAAGGCAGCCCCCGGAAAAAAGGGUGGCCCUGGAAGUGGUGGAGGUAACGCAGGCGGCGAAGGGGGUUGUGGCACAACAGCUGGCAACAGAGGGAGGACGUUCUCACCUCCCCACUGGCCAAGGCGAAGAGCAGCACACCCAGGGACCACCAGUCAGCUGCGUGGCUGUAGGGACCCCCGCUCAGCACCUCUGGGGCUGCAGGGAUGAGGAGAGUGCCACAGAUGGUGUGUGCCCGCUCACCGCAGCGCAGGUGUCUGGAGAGGCCAAAGUCAGCGAGUUUGAGAUGCCCUGGGGGGCAAAACAGUGCAAGAGGAGGGGCCCAUGGAGG